rnacentral:ncRNA from 1 species
AUAUAAGCUUUGAUGAGGACGGUAAAUCCUAAAAACUAAGAGAGCAGUUGUUUGGUGCGAAACUGUGUUUUGAAAAUUUAUAGAUCACCUCGGAGCUCAAAGGUCAAAAGCCUUUGCGUAUUUGCGUUAAAAAUUAAGUGAUAGUUACCUAUAAUUAGGGUGGUACCGCGGCUAGUUCGUCCCUUCU